GGAAUUGUAGCUUAAGUACAAGAGCGUUGAGCUUUUAACUCAAAUGUAAAAUAAUGGUUUUCGAUUCUA
rnacentral:tRNA from 1 species